GGACUCCCAGGCUGCUCGACUCCACGCUCGCUUUUUGGGCAAAUUUUACACCUUGGCCCCAUUUAGCGCCCCACGUGGGGUGCACAAGCCAAAAUCCGGCCUCCCACACCUUGCUUGUGCGCACACUCUACCCAGGAGUCAAAUCCAUUCGAAGCCCCCCUCGCCCCCCUCCUCCUCCCUCUUUAGGCUUUUAGACUAUCGAUAGUGUGAGAUUCAUGAGAGGAUAUAUUCGGAUUUAGAAGUGCCUAACUGCAAACCCAAAAGAGUGGGAGGUGAUACUUACUCCCUACUGUAGCUCAUAGGCUCCAGGCGCACGUUUAGAGAGAUUUUAACACGGAAAAGUGAAAAGU
rnacentral:misc_RNA from 1 species